rnacentral:rRNA from 1 species
GACGAACGCUGGCGGCGUGCUUAACACAUGCAAGUCGAACGGAAAGGCCCUGCUUUUGUGGGGUGCUCGAGUGGCGAACGGGUGAGUAACACGUGAGGAACCUGCCCUUGACUUUGGGAUAACUUCAGGAAACUGGGGCUAAUACCGGAUAGGAGCUCCUGCUGCAUGGGGGGGGUUGGAAAGUUUCGGCGGUUGGGGCUGGUCUCGCGGCUUAUCAGCUUGUUGGUGGGGUAGUGGCUUACCAAGGCUUUGACGGGUAGCCGGCCUGAGAGGGUGACCGGCGACAUUGGGACUGAGAUACGGCCCAGACUCCUACGGGAGGCAGCAGUGGGGAAUAUUGCACAAUGGGCGGAAGCCUGAUGCAGCAACGCCGCGUGCGGGAUGACGGCCUUCGGGUUGUAAACCGCUUUCGCCUGUAACGAAGCGUGAGUGACGGUAAUGGGUAAAGAAGCACCGGCUAACUACGUG